UCAAUCUAUACUGAAAAUGAAAUAAAACUUACAGAUCCACAGAAAGUAGAGAUUGAGUUUAUGGGAGAUUGUGCUGAUGAAAUUCCUUAUCCAGAUCCAGAAGUGAUAAAUGCAGGGCCAUGUCUUACUAGAGAGCAACAAAUUCAGUUAGUGCAUAUGCUGAGCCCAGGGGAGAUAGACCAGAUUGUGAAAGGAAUGCCUAAAGAUA
rnacentral:lncRNA from 1 species